CAGGUGUAGCGGAAGGAUAUUCGUCUCGUAGUGUGCGAAAUAUUUUUUUGUAUAAAAAAAAUUAAAAUUACGCUCGAUGAUACCAAUAAUAUAGAGAUGAAAUUUAGUGUGUGCGUAUGAGUUGUACACACAAAAAAAGGCUUCUCCAUCUCACCGUUUUCCUUCUCGCUCGCUCUCAUCUCACAACGCAACCACGAGAGGGAGAUAGUGAGUGCUCGCUAAAGAAAGCAGAUCUGUAGCGACUUGAGCGUUUCUCACUUGACGGUCGUCGUCGUCGUCGUCGUCCUUAACCCGGGAUUGCCGUCGUCCUUGCGCACGACAUUCGUGUUGGUGCACAUUUUCUUCCGGAGUUGAACUCUUUCUCAUCCAAGCUGUAUACGGUCACACACACGGUCUCUCUCUCUCACACACACUCACACUCUCCGCUUCUCCUACUCUCACUUUCUAUAACUACUUCUUUAUCUUGCAUCCUUCCGCCGUGUAUGUGUUCUCUCUCUCUCUCUCUUUCUCUUUCGCUCACUCUCUUUCAUUCGUUGCGUGUUUCCUUGCUCGAAGGAGAUGACAAGACGAGGGAAAGAAAAUGGAACAUAAAUAAAACGACGAUCCUGGCAGGCGAAGGAUAAGACAGUUUUCACGAGAGAAAAACCAUCGUGAGAGUUAUCCUUCUUUUUUUUGUUGCCCGUUUUGUUUUGCGCGUUCAGUGUUAAGGUGGUGUGCGUGCGGCUCGGUAUGUAGUGUGCGUUACUCUCUUAUAUAGACACAUAGAAUGGCAAUGGAAAGGGUCGAUCCGAUCGGUCCUUUCGGCGUAAUCCUUUCUCGUCCUUUCACGGGCAGCUGGGCAGGAAGGUGCGUGGUGACGGUUGUAGAGCGACGCGUGUGUAUGUAAAUAUUCUGGAGACGAAUGUAAUUUUCUUUUGCCUUUUGCUUCUUGCCCUUUUCCACCAUGCGUCCCCUCAGUACAUUCCUGUCCUAUGUACAAUUUCUUCUCUCUCUCUCGCGCGCUUUCUCUCCUGCUCUCUCGUGUUCCUUGUUAUUUCUGUUUACUUCUACAUCGGUGUGGGAUACUCCCUUUUGUCCACUGGUUUCGUACGGCCGGCACUAAGCAAGGGUUCAAGGAGAUUUUUCUUUUACACAACAGUCUACCACACUACGCGCGAAAGAAGGCCACCAUCGCGCACAUAAAACGAAAGAAUUUGGCACCGCGCACAACACAGAUACACAGCCACACGAACACACAGAAACUGGGUGGGCUGAAAGUUCGACUCGAUGUCCUUUAGGACGGAUCGGCCGGUGACGGCGGCCGAAAGGAAAAAUUCGCCAAACCAGUCGAUCUCGCGCGCGCUCGCUUGUAUAUACGGGACAGAGGUAGAAGUGCACGUGUGUCUGUGUUUGUCGUGUACUUCGGUAGUGAUAAAGCGCGAGAAAACGCGCCUGCAAUUGUGCGUGUGUACAACAUCCUUUCGCUGAACUCGAGACAUUUUGCGGACACCUACGAACUCAUUCCGUGACGCAACACCGUGACCAACGGAUGAAGUCUCUGAUGCCGAUUUCUUGAGAGUAGUGGCAAAACGGGUUUGUGCAAGAUAUUGGAAAAAAGGAAAUGGACAAUAAAUUUAUGAAAGGAGAAAAAAAAGAUCAUAUGAUCUUGAAGAACGGCAAUGAAGUUAUGUGGUUGAGUAGGUUUUACUAAAAAAAUAAUAAAUUAAGUGGUAUUUUCGUGAACAUGUAUUAUUGCCCGAAAUUUCAAAGUGUUGUGUGAUAAGUUUUAUUGGACGAACCCUAGUGAAGUGCUUCAAUCAAGAUUAGUGAAAUUUUGUGCGGAGAAAAAAUCGACCUUUAGUGUUUCUAUCCCUGUUUCUAAUCGUUAUGGUGAAAUGGCGUUAAAAGUUCUCGUGCAGUGAUGAAAAAAUGGUCGGAUAAUGAACUUGAAUGAAGAUAACUUUCAACGAAAAAAAAAAUCCAACAACGAUCAUGAACAACCCAACCGUCGAGGCAUAAUAAACACGAAAUAAACAAUCACAUAGGGCGCACAAUUUUGUACGAUUUUGUUACAAAUAAAAAAACCAACCCCAUUCCUGAUAGCAAAUAACGAGUUCACACUCCACAACGUACGUACGCCGAAAGAGAGCGUAACAGUAGAAUGGGUUCGUUCGGUUACCAAAAUUUGAAUUCUCCCGAUAUAUGUGCACACAUAUCGACAGAGUUUGAAAUCAGCUGCUGCUGCUGGUGGUGAAAUCUUGCCUCUUGAAAUCUUGUCCCUUUAUGUCACGGCGACAAGCAGCAAACGGAGCGAAGAUUAUAUACAUUCGGUUACGCUCAACUCACCCCCCCAAAACGGUUCAAAAGUUAAUGAAAAGCAAAGCAGUUUUACCGAGAAGCAAGGAUACCGAUUGGAACGGAAGGACCAUCGCUGUCGAUGUACGGAUACGAAGAAACCGAGAGAACGAUCACACACUAGUGCAGAAACUACUACUACCUAACACUAGCACUAUUACUACCACCAACACUAGCGAUGAAUGCCAUGGCGACAGGAGCAAGACUCUGAGGCUGUAGAUAAUAACUACGAUGAGAAGCAAUUUUGACUCAGUUUCGCAGUCGAAAAGGUACGGCGCUUGAGAUGGUCGUCUGGAGGAAUACGAAGCAAGCGUCCUAGACGCACGUCUACGGGCGGUAUCGACGAUGAAGUUCGAAUGUAUAAAGCACCGUAUGUGAUGGGCGCACACCGGGUGCAAAACGUUCGGGAAAAUACGUCACUUCCGCGUACAAGAAAGGAUCGUACUUGAUACGACCAAGCAAAUGAUAACAGUGCAAAGUGCGAAAAUUUGAAAGUUCCAUAUCGUAAGUGUAAAAAUACAAGUGAUAGAAGAAAGUGUUGUUGUGGCAAUCAGCAAUAGCAAGUGGAAAGGAAGUUAUCGAUUAAAACA